ensembl:lncRNA
GUUCGUGUGACUCUGUGUGCGUGUUCAUGUGUGUGCACGUAUGUGUAUGCCUCCAAAGCCUUUCAUUUGCUUAUGUACCCCUGUUACGGUUUAGACCCCCAAAACUCUCAUGCUCAGGGGCAGGGCUUUUGGGAGGGGACUGGAUCCAGCCUCAGAGCUGACGUGCCGUCAGGAGGUGGGGCCUAGUUAGAGGGGUGUUGCUGGGGGCGUGGCCUGGAAGGGUUUCUCUCCUUUCCUGGCUCCUCCCUUCUCUCUGCUUCCGGCCGCCAUGAUGUGAGCAGCUUUCCUCCACUCAGACCCUUCAACCACGGUAUUUCUGCCUUGGAGCUGGCCAGCGGUGCAAGGACCGAGACUUCUAAAACUCGUCUCUAUUUUGCAGGUGCCAUAGCUGGGAUCAAAUGUAACAGAAACAAGGGUCCGAGUGCCAGGAGAGGAGAAGGAAGCUGCUCAGUUGGAGGCCUAAGGCCACUUGACCCCAGGACUCUCUCUCCUCCCUCUUGGUGCCUGCCGAGUGUCUGGUCCACAGCAAGCGUGCUCAGGGUGGCUGCUGAAUGAGGGACUGUUCCCGCCUCUCUACCUCAGACCUCUGUGAUGCAGGCUGUGUCUUCAACACCUGCCCCUGGCUGUGCUUUGCUUCUGGUCUCUGGAAGCAGAGAGGGAAACCGAAGUCCGCCAGGGCAGGUUGGUGUCCUUCAGGGCUGAGAGGCCACCGUGGGAAUCAAGGAAGAGGGGAUGUGGGAGAGACCUUAGCAGUUCUGGUGCUGGUCUUGCGAUGGAGAUCGACCUUCGGCUGUGGCUCAGGGCAAAGGUGACCCGGUUACUCUACUGCUUAAACUCCUCAGUGUGAUGAUAAUAACAGGAACUUAGGAGCUAUUGCUGUGUGCCUCCUUCUUUUACGGUGUGAAGGCCACCACUGAAAUGGAUGUGUGCCAACAAAAUUCACAUGCUGAAAUUCAGUCCCUGUGAGACGGUAUUAAUAGGUGGGACCUCCAAGGGGGUUUAGGUCACCUCCAUAAGGCAGAGCCCUCAGGCGUGGGAUCAGAAUCUGUGGAAGGGCUUGAGGGAGCCUGCCUGUCCCCUGUCCCCUGCCAAGUGGGGACUCGGUGAAAGGGUGCCGUCUGUGAGGCACAGACACUGAACCUGGUACCUGGACCUUGGACUUCUCGGCCAACGCUGGAGUUCUGGAGAGCAGUACUGGAGAACCGGAAGUACUUCUCAGUGCCGAGAGCAGCCCAGUCUGAGGUGUUUACUUCAGCCUGAACAGACCACACAGGGGACCCCUAAAGUCCCGCCCAGAGCCUCUGCCGUCAUUUGCUGUGAGACUCCCUGUUUCAGUGAUGAAGAAGAGUCUUGGAGGCCUGAAGGACUUGCCCACGGUUAUCUCACUUCAGAGUCGGGCUCCCCCGCUUCUCGGCGGCCUUAUUCCUCCCCGGGGUUGCACCGUCCCCCCUGUGUCCCUCGGCGCCCCCACGCAGAUUUAUUGCAGUCCUCGGGGGUCUGGUUUCCCGCACACGCCUCCUCCGAGCGCCAAUGCCCAGGUCCCAGCGGCCUCUCCGCCACCCAUCCCCCAGAGCUCUGCUUAAAUCUUGCUUCUGCAGCCAGUGAGGGUCAGUGCGUGCUCAGAGAUGGAGCCGACCCUCCGCUCCACACUGCUGAACGCUGGGGCCCGACACUGGGAGCGAGAUGCGGACACGGCUUCCGGCCUCC